rnacentral:piRNA from 1 species
UGUGCGGGCAGAGCUUUUAUG